rnacentral:misc_RNA from 1 species
GUUUGAUUGGUUUUGAGCUGAAGUCAGUGGUUCUACUUGGUGGUGUUGCAAAGGAGGUAGAGAUGAAAGGUUCUAAUGGAUUUGAGCAGGUGGUUGAACCUCUUCGACACCAUCGAGGUGUAAUCACUUUUGGAUUUUCAGGAAAGAUGAUACAGAGAACACUCUGUGCUAAUGGUCUAACCAUUCCUUGUUUGAAUGCUGAAACUCUCAAGGAUGCUGUGAGGUUGGCAAGGAGUAUAGCACAACGUGGCGAUGCCAUUGUACUGAGUCCUGGUUGUGCUAGCUUUGACGAGUUCAGAAAUUUCGAGCAAAGAGGAAGGAUCUUUCAAGAGCUUGCUAUCUCUUCAGAGUGACUGACCAUCUCUUCCAUGUUUUGUUGGUCACU